rnacentral:lncRNA from 1 species
GUGCAGCGGCUGGUGGGAAGAGAACCCAGCAACUGGAGGGCUAAGUCAAUGUGUAUGCUCCAAGUCAUGGGGUGGACCACUGGGGGGGACCUGUGAAGGUUGGCUCUUGCAUCACUGUGCUGGGGGAAUAUGACAUCAAAUAGUAAGUAUAAAAUACUGUGAUAGGUCAGGAGACAGGGACCACAGAAGAAAGGAAAUUGUUUUAUGUUUUAAUACCUUUAAAGGCACAUUUUCAUUUUAUACUGGGCCCCACAAAUUAUUUAGCAGGCCCAGAGAGGAAAUUAGUCGUACCUACUGUGGUCCAGGAAGGGGCCUAGAGUGGGAGAAACAGGAUGAUUUCUUCUCACCCUGCACUAGGUCAACUGAAUUCUAGCAGCUCCUAGAUUACUCAAUUCCCUAAAAUAAUAUUAUGCACACUGCAUUGUAUUUAGAAGUUCCUAGUCAGUGUAACCUUCCUCCAUUAAACUGUAUGCUCCUUAAGUGUAGACUAUCUUUUUAAUUAAGACGUAAUCUCAGCUUUCAAAGAGAACAAAAUAAUGAAUCCUCAAAAAUUGUGUGUUAAAUAGCAGAAGACUUCAGAUAGUGAAAUACAGAAGAAUAAGAAGUAAAAAUUAUGGAUGGAUAUGUGUGUGUGUUGCUUUAACAGAGACCAUAACCUCUGAUAUUAAGAAACGUGUGUAAUCUAACAACCGUAGAGUAGUGGAAGCUUCCCUCUCCCUUAUGCUAGAAGCUAAGGGCUAUUUUUGCCCUGAAGGUUGUUGUUACCUAAUCAGAGAAAGAAGUCAGGAUAAUUAAUAUGUUAAUGGUAAAGCAUCGGUCCUCCUUUCUUGCAGUUUAAUAGAAGUUCCACAUAUCUUGAAAACAAAACUAAUAUUUGAGGAGCUUAUGGGAGGGAAAACUCUAUUGCCUUCAUUCCCUACCCAAGACAUAAAAGGCACAGGAGAGAAAGUGAAGAGGGUUUGGCUUUUUUGAGACACAAAUUUCAUUAUUUUUCAGUUUGGGACAAUAAUUGUUUUCUUUCCUAAUAUCUAAAAUUGUAAACAAUUAAAAUAUUAUGUCAGUAACAAGUGUAAAAUAUUCUGGCAAAUCAAUAUCUUUACUUAACACAAUCUCUGGAGUCCAUUACUUAUUACUUUGUCGUAUGAUUGGGUUCCUGCUGAAUCUCACCAAAUCGCACCAAAAGGGUGACAAAACAACUUCCUGUAAGCAAAGGACAAA